GAAGCACGUGCUCUGAUCCCACACUUUGACAACCGAUGAAGUCGCACACUUUGGCUGGAUCCGGUUGCUCAAAAUUCCAAGCAUACCCCAAGGGAAGGCUUCGCUGGUCAACCGUAGUAGCGUCCAGUGUUGGGCGCUCAGGAUGGUUCCCUGAUGUUUGUGGUAGAGCAUGUCACUUAGCUGAGCCAGGGUCGCCUUGUAGUAAUGCCUCCGGCAGUGUAUAACAAACAUCAUUGCAACAUGCAACAAGGAGUGUUGAUAUUCUUAAACACAAGGAGACACAAUCUCAUCUAGUAGGUGAAUUAAUGUCAUAUACUCUGUCCCUUUGUAUUUAGUGCCAAACUGCCUUAACACAAUUUCCCUAACAAGCAGCCAGCCCCCAAAACAUGCUGUUAUUAGUGUACUAGUACGAUACGAUUUUGGUUUCUUUGCAAGGAUUUUCCUUGCACCAAAAAUUGCCUUAUACAUCAGCUCAAACAGAAAUCUAUAAAUGACAACGACAUUCUGCUGGGCAUUAUAGGAGAUGUGGAAUGGCCCAUGCCACGGGAUCAGGGAUAUCUGAAAAUUCAGUUGCCGUGGGUUCCACUGAAAGAAAGAAAAACACAAAGUUUUUACCAUUUGCUAAACUCUAAUGGAAUAAUUUAAACUGUUCUGUGUGUGUAUUUAUUUUAAAAUCACUGUGCUUACAGACAGUUUCCCUCAAAUUCUGAAAUUAGAGAAUCGUUUCUUUUUUGUGCAUACAAUAUCACUUAAGUUCAUUAUACAGUAUAGCCAAUGCUAUAUCUUACAACUGAUGCACAUCAAAACUAUUUUUGGUCAUUGUUUUGCUUUGGAGUUCUUGACAUUUUAAUAAAUUUCCUUUUUUU